CAACUACUCCCUCUAUCCCAAAUUUCUUGUCUUAGAUUUGUCUAGAUACGGAUGUAUCUAAUACUAAAAUGUGACUUGAUACAUCCAUAUCUAGACAAAUCCACGACAAGAAUUUUGGGACGGAGGGAGUACUUU
rfam:Triticum aestivum genome assembly, contig: Triticum_aestivum_CS42_TGACv1_scaffold_146022_2BS